rnacentral:rRNA from 1 species
CAGCAAUGCCAGGGAGCGGCGAACGGGUGAGUAACACGUGGAUGAUCUACCUCCAAGACUGAGAUAACCCAUCGAAAGGUGGGCUAAUAUUGGAUGUGACUACGUUCCGUAUUCGGGACGCAGUAAAAGGUGGGGACCGCAAGGCCUGCCACUUGGAGAUGAGUCUGCGGCUGAUUAGCUAGUUGGCGGGGUAAUGGCCCACCAAGGCAACGAUCAGUAGCCGGCCUGAGAGGGUGUACGGCCACACUGGAACUGAGACACGGUCCAGACUCCUACGGGAGGCAGCAGUAGGGAAUUUUCCGCAAUGGGCGCAAGCCUGACGGAGCAACGCCGCGUGAGGGACGAAGGUCUUCGGAUUGUAAACCUCUUUGGAGCGAGACGAACGAGCUUCCGGUGAACAGCCGGAGGCAGUGACUGUAUCGCUAGAACAAGUCACGGCUAACUCUGUGCCAGCAGCCGCGGUAAUACAGAGGUGACAAACGUUGUCCGGAAUUAUUGGGCGUAAAGGGCGCGUAGGUGGUUGAGUAAGUCAGGUGUGAAAGCUCUGGGCUUAACCCAGGAAUUGCAUCUGAUACUGCUCGGCUUGAGUACGGUAGAGGAAGGUGGAAUUCCCAGUGUAGCGGUGAAAUGCGUAGAUAUUGGGAGGAACACCGGUGGCGAAGGCGGCCUUCUGGACCGAAACUGACACUGAAGCGCGAAAGCUAGGGGAGCAAACGGGAUUAGAUACCCCGGUAGUCCUAGCCUUAAACGAUGAGUACUAGGUGUAGGAGGUAUUGACCCCUUCUGUGCCGCAGCUAACGCA